rnacentral:rRNA from 1 species
UAGGGAAUCUUCGGCAAUUGACGAAAGUCUGACCGAGCAACGCCGCGUGAGUGAAGAAGGUUUUCGGAUCGUAAAACUCUGUUGUUAGAGAAGAACAAGGACGUUAGUAACUGAACGUCCCCUGACGGUAUCUAACCAGAAAGCCACGGCUAACUACGUGCCAGCAGCCGCGGUAAUACGUAGGUGGCAAGCGUUGUCCGGAUUUAUUGGGCGUAAAGCGAGCGCAGGCGGUUUCUUAAGUCUGAUGUGAAAGCCCCCGGCUCAACCGGGGAGGGUCAUUGGAAACUGGGAGACUUGAGUGCAGAAGAGGAGAGUGGAAUUCCAUGUGUAGCGGUGAAAUGCGUAGACAUAUGGAGGAACACCAGUGGCGAAGGCGGCUCUCUGGUCUGUAACUGACGCUGAGGCUCGAAAGCGUGGGGAGCAAACAGG